rnacentral:piRNA from 1 species
UGGUUGUGUGAAGGCUGCCUGAGC